ACGCUUGAAAUAUUGCCUCAUACCUGUACAUGCGAACGAGGUGAGCAAAGUUUCGAGCGUUU
rnacentral:pre_miRNA from 1 species